UACGUAGGGUGCAAGCGUUAAUCGGAAUUACUGGGCGUAAAGCGUGCGCAGGCGGCUUUGCAAGACAGAUGUGAAAUCCCCGGGCUUAACCUGGGAACUGCAUUUGUGACUGCAUGGCUGGAGUGCGGCAGAGGGGGAUGGAAUUCCGCGUGUAGCAGUGAAAUGCGUAGAGAUGCGGCGGAACACCGAUGGCGAAGGCAGCCCCCUGGGCUGAGAUUGACGCUCAGGCACGAAAGCGUGGGGAGCAAACAGG
rnacentral:rRNA from 1 species